rfam:Candidatus Giovannonibacteria bacterium RIFCSPLOWO2_01_FTLL_46_13 rifcsplowo2_01_scaffold_17309, whole genome shotgun sequence.
CUCAAAGAGAGUUUGAUCCUGGCUCAGGAUGAACGCUGGCGGCGUGGAUAAGGCAUGCAAGUCAAACGGAACUUAUUUUGAAGGAGUUGCGAUUACAUCAAGACAACGGAUUCAUAGGUUUAGUGGCAGACGGGGUAGUAACACGUAGGAACAUCCCCCAGAGACGGGUAUAACUAGCCGAAAGGUUAGCUAAUCCCCGAUAGUCUCGUAAGAGUAAAUCACUUAGAUUGGCUCUGGGAAUGGCCUGCGGGAUAUCAGCUUGUUGGCGAGGUAAUUGCUCACCAAGGCUAUGACGUCUAGGGGGCGUGAGAGCGCGACCCCCACCAAUGGAACUGAGACACGGUCCAUACACCUACGGGUGGCUGCAGUCAAGAACAUUUGUCAAUGGGCGAAAGCCUGAACAAGCGACGCCGCGUGCGGGAUGAAGCUCUUCGGAGUGUAAACCGCUUUUAUAGGGGAGGAACUAAAGUGACGUUACCCUAUGAAUAAGGCCUUGCUAACCUCGUGCCAGCAGCCGCGGUAAUACGAGGAGGCCAAGCGUUAUCCGGAUUUAUUGGGCGUAAAGGGUGUGUAGGGGGCAUGGUUAGUCUCCGCUUAAAUUUUCGGGCUCAACCCGGAAUCCGGCGGAGAAACGGCCAAGCUAAGAGGGUGCCAGAGGCAAAUGGAACUCAUGGUGUAGGGGUGAAAUCCGUUGAUAUCAUGGGGAACACCAAAGGCGAAGGCAAUUUGCUGGGGCAUUCCUGACCCUGAAACACGAAAGCGUGGGGAUCAAAAAGGAUCGAAAAGUUCCGUUUACAAGGCGGACUGGUCCAAUUGUGAAGUAAUUCGCAAUAUAAAAACUUGGCUAUAUCGGGGAACAUCUCGCGAAGCGAGACAAUCCCGAGGGAAGUUGUGUGUUCAAAUUUCUGGAAAAAGAAAAAGGCGCAGCUGUGCCGCGCCUUGGGAAAUCACUGAUCGAUCUAAGUCAUCGCUUGGUAGUAGACUCAAGCUUAGCGCAUGCCAGAGCUGUUAGAAAACAGCCUAGUAGCAGCAUCGCAAGAGUUGCGAGGGGUCCAUACGCGAGGACGGGCUUACUUAGAGCGGUCAAAAGUGUUAUUAGAACUCCAAUUAUAACCAUGGUUCACCUCCGAUGCAAGAAUACCAUGAUGGGAUUAGAAUGUCAAGAAAAUUGACUCCAGAAAUUUGAACAUACAACCCCGUAGAGACUAUACGCCGAGCUCCUGAUUAAUUUCAGGAUGAUGAUAUAGUCCGAACUCUGCAGCGAUGCAGAGAAGCAGAUAGAAAUAUUCUGCUCACUCAAGAAUGAAAAUCGGUGCUAAUUUUUGGAAAAAGAAAGGCCACCACUAUUAAGUGAUGGCGUUCGCAAGACGAGAGAUCAGAUUCGAACUGACAUCUAGCAGGGGGUACCCCGUCGCCUUACCGUUAGACCACUCCCGACUUGCAUAAAAAGAUUAGCACUAAAUACAGUCUAUUGUCAAUAGACUCCAAAAAUUAGCACCGAUUACAGAAUUUCUUGAGGUCCGCCGUCGCUAAAGCUAUGGCGGACACAGUAACAAAAUGUAGAUACCCUUGUAGUCCACGCCCUAAACGUUGAUGACUAGGCAUCCGAAGUAUCGACCCUUCGGGAGCCGCAAGCUAACGCGUUAAGUCAUCCGCCUGGG